rnacentral:rRNA from 1 species
UACAGAGGGUGCAAGCGUUUGUUCGGAAUUAUUGGGCGUAAAAGGGAGUGUAGGCGGCUUGUUAAGUCUUCUGCGAAAGCUACGGGCUCAGCCCGUAAAGUGCAGAGGAAACUGGCGAGCUUGAGUGUCGGAGAGGAUAGGGGAAUACCCAGUGUAGAGGUGAAAUUCGUAGAGAUUGGGUGGAACACCAGUGGCGAAGGCGCCUGUCUGGCUGACAACUGACGCUGAGACUCGAAAGCAUGGGGGAGCAAACAGG